GAUUAAGCCAUGCAUGUGUAAGUACAAGCCGAUGUAAGGUGAAACCGCGAAUGGCUCAUUAAAUCAGCUAUGUUUUAUUGGAUCUGUACACCCACUUACUUGGAUAACUGUGGUAAUUCUAGAGCUAAUACAUGCACACAGAGUCCCCGACCGCAAGGGAGGGGCGCUUUUAUUAGUUCAAAACCGGUCGGGCCUUGGUCCGUAACCCACCUGUGGUGAAUCUGAAUAACUUCUUGCUGAGCGCACGGUCUCUGCACUGGCGCCGCAUCUUUCAAGUGUCUGCCUUAUCAGCUUUCGAUUGUAGGUUAUUCGCCUACAAUGGCUAUAACGGGUAACGGGGAAUCAGGGUUCGAUUCCGGAGAGGGAGCCUGAGAAACGGCUACCACAUCCAAGGAG
rnacentral:rRNA from 1 species